UGAGGGAGACAAUUAACAGCCACAGGAAGUCAGAAGGCUUGUAGGGAGGGGAAGCCAGACAGAAAGUGAAGAGCGUUGCUUGGCCAGUAUCUACAGUAUUGGAUCAGGGGCUCUUAGGGUUUGGGAAGAGACCCAGGGGCUGGGAGACUGGGACCAGCAGUGCCACAGCACAGAGCUGAGUCACAGCCAGCCUGAGAGGGAAGACUGCAGCAAGGAAGGAGUAGCAGUAAGGCACAAGUGCCUUCUCAGGGGUUGAAGAGGACUCAGAUGUGUUUCCUUAUGAAAAGCCGGCCCAGUGACGGAGAAGGCUGUAUCCUCAACUGAUAUAAAUGGGUAUUGAUCCAUCAGAAUCAAUGAAAUUGUGCUGACCUACACUGUUAAGAAUAUCAGAAUCUGAAGAGGAUUUUGCCCUGAAAGACAAGGAUCAAAUUUUAAAAAUCCCAAAGAACUCAGGAAUAGAGUAACUGAAUGAGUUAUAAGGGAUAGAAAACCAAAGGAUAUGAAAUACCAGAGCAGGAAGGAAGACUAACAAGUAAAUUAUAGAAAAUAAAAAAAUCCAUGAGUUUCCAAAUAUACUCAUGCUGGCUGCUCAAGUCCCAUUGACUUUCAAUUGGAUUUAGGCUCCUAAGUGCAUGAAUCACUUCUGAAACCAGGAUUUGAGAAAACUUAAGAAGACUAAAACAGGUCAGAAUAUUGACACUAUGGAUUCCUUCUUUACAUUUCUGGAUUUAUCUUGUGACUCAAAUGUUUGCACACUUAACAGUGCUAAUAUUGUGGAGUACUCUGCAUCACCCAUAAAAGGAUCUCACAGCAGGCCAGGGUGCUACAACACUCUGGUCUGGACUCUAGUGAACUGGGCACUAGCUUGGGAACCUGGAAUUCCUAAUGGUUGCCAUGAGCACUUCCAAUAGCUAACUUCUGUUUUAAAUGAGUCAUGUGGGAACCUGAUUUUCAAAAAGUCAGGUGCAUCUACAUGUCUAAUGUGCAAGUGGCGAUUCUGUAUCAACACCCACAUUGUAUGUGCAGUCAUGUUGCAUUGUGUGCACACAGUUUUGAAUAGUUAGGUACUUAAUGACUCAGUUUCCCUGUCUGCAAAAAUAAUCACACUUGCAGAGCAGUUCUUAAAUUGUGUGUGUCAUACUAACUAUGUAAAGUGAUGAGAAUCCUUGUUAAAACCAGUACAAAAACACUUGAACCCAUGUGGCUUUGCUGACAUAUUUUUCUAAUAAAGACAAUGUUUAUAUAAAAA